rnacentral:pre_miRNA from 1 species
UUAACUCAAAUUUAUUAGGGAUUGGAUUGUUUACCUACGUUUGCCGCUUAGUGCGCUGUUCCAAGUGCAUACAAAUUUAACUUU